rnacentral:rRNA from 1 species
GCAAGUCGAGCGCGAAAUCUCUUCGGAGAGAGUAGAGCGGCGGACGGGUGAGUAACGCGUAGGAAUCUACCCAGUAGUGGGGGACAACAUGGGGAAACCCAUGCUAAUACCGCAUACGCCCUACGGGGGAAAGCGGGGGAUCUUCGGACCUCGCGCUAUUGGAUGAGCCUGCGUUGGAUUAGCUAGUUGGUGGGGUAAAGGCCUACCAAGGCGACGAUUGGUAGCCGAACUGAGAGGUUGAUC